CGAAGGCGGAGCGCGUCCACUCGUACCAGUAGUAGUAGACGAAAUUGGUGACGGAGAUGCCGAAGAGGGCGGAUUCGAGACCGGCAUAUAGACCCCGGAACCCCUCGCGUGCGAUUAUGUGGCGGAUGGCAUCGAGGGUGGAGGAUUGUGCGCGCUUGGAUUCUACUUGGGCGCGGGUGGACAGGGUAAUGAGAGGGUAGCUAUUUUGCAGGGUUUCGUCUUGUGUAAGUAAGGCUUUUCGUUUUGGAUUGUCGGUUAGUAUAAUGGAUAGAGAGAGGGCUCACGUUAAGACCAUGGACAAAAUGCCACCUCCGGCGCCGGCGAGCGCAUGAGCGAUAUUAUCGCUUUGUUGAGCUGCAGCGGCAGCUACAACCGCCUUUUGCUGCUCUCUCGGGACCGGCUGGGACAUGUUCACGAUAUGGUUUCAAGGAGUUCAGAUAGCGGGGCGGGAUAAUAUAUGAGAAGAAUGUUAGCCCGGCGUCGUUGGCACGGGAAGGCAGUCUGCUAAUAAAAAAGGAAAUUAGGGAGCGGAAGAAAAUAUCGAUACGGAACUCAAAAACACAAGACGAAUAUGUGGAUAAAUAUUUAAAGAUAUCAGCGGCCCGUGUUUCAGUCUGAUAUUCUGGCCCGUUGCACGUAAAUAUGCAUCUUGUGGUUUGCCGGAUGAUUGGAGCUUGUGCCUCACUGCCUCGGCUUGAAAGAUAUUUAAAUAAAUAACCACGAUACAUAAGAUAUACUCCAGCAACGAGAUCAUCUAUGUGAGGUACUAGCACAUCCUCUUCUGUUUUUUCCCUUCUGCUUCCACAUAGCUAUUUUUUGCCAGUUGGUAGAUAUAUAACUUUUUAUACAAAACGCCAGGCUGGAUGGAUCGGGUUGUUUCACGCAAGUUUCAUCUUGAGAUAACUACUUCAACGCUUUGUAACUGCUGGAGCCUCAGACGAGCGCAUGGCGGCUGGGAGAAACAUUCAAUCGCCCAAAUCUAAUGAAACGACGGG
rnacentral:sRNA from 1 species